rnacentral:rRNA from 1 species
GACGGCGGAUGCAAGCGUUAUCCGGAAUGAUUGGGCGUAAAGCGUCCGCAGGUGGCAGUUCAAGUCUGCUGUCAAAGACCGGGGCUUAACUUCGGAAAGGCAGUGGAAACUGAACAGCUAGAGUAUGGUAGGGGCAGAGGGAAUUCCUGGUGUAGCGGUGAAAUGCGUAGAGAUCAGGAAGAACAUCGGUGGCGGAGGCGCUCUGCUGGACCAUAACUGACACUCAGGGACGAAAGCUAGGGGAGCGAAUGGG